rnacentral:rRNA from 1 species
GAUGAACGCUGGCGGCGUGCUUAACACAUGCAAGUCGAACGGAAAGGCCGAAGCUUGCUUCGGUACUCGAGUGGCGAACGGGUGAGUAACACGUGGGUGAUCUGCCCUGUACUUCGGGGUAAGCUUGGGAAACUGGGUCUAAUACCGGAUAUGACGAUCUCUUGGAUGGGGUUGUGGAAAGCUUUUGCGGUAUGGGAUGAGCUCGCGGCCUAUCAGCUUGUUGGUGGGGUAAUGGCCUACCAAGGCGUCGACGGGUAGCCGGCCUGAGAGGGUGUACGGCCACAUUGGGACUGAGAUACGGCCCAGACUCCUACGGGAGGCAGCAGUGGGGAAUAUUGCACAAUGGGCGCAAGCCUGAUGCAGCGACGCCGCGUGGGGGAUGACGGCCUUCGGGUUGUAAACUCCUUUCGCAAUCGACGAAGCCUUUUGGUGACGGUAGGUUGAGAAGAAGCACCGGCUAACUACGUG